rnacentral:tRNA from 9 species
AAGAAAGAAUGCAAGAGCUGCUCUCUCAUGCCCCAUAUAUAACAGUAUGGCUUUCUUA